rnacentral:rRNA from 1 species
CAAUAGCGUAUAUUAAAGUUGUUGCAGUUAAAAAGCUCGUAGUUGGAUUUGUGGUGUAUGGUGUGUUCCGGGCACUUGUUGUCUGAGUAACUUGCCAUUGCCAUCCUUGGGUGGAACCUGUGUGGCAUUAGGUUGUCGUGCAGGGGAUGCCCAUCGUUUACUGUGAAAAAAUUAGAGUGUUCAAAGCAGGCUUAUGCCGUUGAAUAUAUUAGCAUGGAAUAAUAAGAUAGGACUUUUUUGCUAUUUUGUUGGUUUGCGCGAGAAGGUAAUGAUUAAUAGGGAUAGUUGGGGGUAUUCGUAUUCCAUUGUCAGAGGUGAAAUUCUUGGAUUUUUGGAAGACGAACUAUUGCGAAAGCAUUUACCAAAGGAUGUUUUCAUUAA